CGCAUCUGUGCAUGCAGCAUAUCAAUAAGCGGAGGAAAAGAAACUAACAAGGAUUCCCCUAGUAACGGCGAGUGAAGCGGGAAGAAGCUCAAAUUUGAAAUCUUAAAGGGUUUCCCUUUACGAAUUGUAGUUUAAAGAAGUGUUUUCUGUUGAGGUUUUGGUAAAAGUUCUUUGGAAUAGGACAUCAUAGAGGGUGAGAGUCCCGUAUUUGACCUUUACUUUCAACUUUGUGAUACACUUUCAAAGAGUCGGAUUGUUUGGGAAUGCAGUCCAAAAUGGGUGGUAAAUUUCAUCUAAAGCUAAAUAUUGGCGAGAGACCGAUAGCGAACAAGUACCGUGAGGGAAAGAUGAAAAGAACUUUGAAAAGAGAGUUAAACAGUACGUGAAAUUGUCAAAAGGGAAGCGUUUGACACCAGUGUUGUUUUUCUGAAAAUCAAUUAAAGAACUGUUUAUGCUAAGUUGUUUAGACUUUAUCAGCUAACUGUUUAGUUUUGAGCUUUUCUUUAAUGCACUUUUCAGUUAACAAGUCAACAUCAAUUUCUUUUGCUGUAAAAAAGCUUGAGGAAGGUGGCUUGAGAUUCGUCUUAAGUGUUUAUAGCCUCUUGCCUAUGCAGUCGGAGAGAUUGAGGUCUGCAGCGUAGAUCCUUCGGGGCUAAAUGCAUUUGUGCUAAGUUAUAGCAUUUUAUAGACAACUUGUUGACUAUGAUUUGUCUUGUAGCUUACUCGCUUAUGUUAUUUUACCUACGCUUAGGAUGUUGAGCGCAUGUCUCUCUCU
rnacentral:rRNA from 1 species